GCCCCCGUAUCCCAACUGGCAGAGGAAGCCGACUUAAACUCGGCGCAGUCCGGGUUCGAAUCCCGGCGGGGGCACCU
rnacentral:tRNA from 1 species